ACUAACGUCAUUUCCGGCGCGCCGGCCACGGUGCUUCCGGGUUCUGGGGUAGGAGCGGCGUCUUCUCGCGCGGAUUGUGAAGCUGAAUUUGGUACGCUGGACCCUCGGACAGACAGCAAGAGAGAGACAAGCCCGAGGCCUGACUUCUAGCACUCCUGAGUUUGAGCCCUAUGAGCAGUGGAACCUAGGGACCACCAAGGAUCCAGAUAUAAUUCUUUCCUCAGUAACAGAAAAAAGAAUCUGGGAUCUAAGAAGAUACCUACUCAUUUUCUAAGUGACUGGCCAUGUCAUUGUCCCACUUAUACCGGGAUGGGGAAGGCCGCAUUGAUGAUGAUGAUGACGAGCGGGAGAACUUUGAGAUCACUGACUGGGAUCUCCAGAAUGAGUUCAACCCCAACCGACAGCGCCACUGGCAGACCAAGGAAGAAGCCACCUACGGGGUGUGGGCAGAGCGAGACUCGGAUGAUGAGAGGCCCAGCUUUGGAGGCAAAAGGGCCCGUGACUACUCUGCGCCAGUCAACUUCAUCAGCGCAGGGCUCAAGAAAGGGGCAGCGGAGGAGGCAGAGUUGGAAGAUUCUGAUGACGAAGAGAAACCUGUUAAGCAGGACGACUUUCCUAAGGAUUUUGGACCAAGGAAGCUAAAAACGGUAGAGUCUUUAUUGCAGGAUUGUGACCCUAGGAAUAUCCUUCAAAGGUCAUUGUGGCCCAAGCAUUUUCUAGCCAGGGAGAAACUCAUCUGGAGUGAAUUUCG
rnacentral:sRNA from 1 species